AUUGAACGCUGGCGGCAGGCCUAACACAUGCAAGUCGAGCGGAGCGGCGGACGGGUGAGUAAUGCCUAGGACUCUGCCUGGUAGUGGGGGAUAACGUCCGGACACGGGCGCUAAUACCGCAUCCUAUCAGAUGAGCCUAGGUCGGAUUAGCUAGUUGGUGGGGUAAAGGCCUACCAAGGCGACGAUCCGUAACUGGUCUGAGAGGAUGAUCAGUCAAACUGGAAUUGAGACACGGUCCAGACGCCGACGGGAGGCAGCAGUGGGGAAGAUUGGACAAUGGGCGAAAGCCUGAGCCAGCCAUGCCGCGUGUGUGAAGAAGGUAUUCGGAGUGUAAAGCACUUGAAGUUGGGAGGCGUUACCAACAGAAUAAGCACCGGCUAACUUAGUGCCAGCCGCCGCGGUAAUUC
rnacentral:rRNA from 1 species